rnacentral:lncRNA from 1 species
ACCCCCGGAUGCCUCAGUGUCCCCCCCAUUGGCACCAAGGCUUGUGUGUGCCUCAGUUUCCCCACGGGGGAUGAGGUGGAGGGGGUCCUCUGGAGACACCUGAGUCCCUUUUUCAGGGGUGGGGGGUCCCUCCUGGAUACCUGAAGGGAAAUGGGGGGGGGUCUCACCUGGCUGCCCCUCCCCCACAGGAGAAGGAGGAGCUGCUGGGGGGGGCUGAGAACGGGCCCAGGCCCCCCCCGGGGCCCCCCCUGCGCCUCUGCCCCAUCAAGGAGGAAGCAGGACCCCUCCCCCGCCUCGAGGACCCUCGCCUGGGGCUCCUCAUCGCCUCGGCCCCGCGCCUCAAGGGGGCCCCCCCGGAGCCCAGCGUGGCCCCCCAAAGGCCCCCCCCGGGGGAUCUGGGGGUCCUGAUCGCCGCCACCCCCCGCGUGAAGCAGGAGCAGCCGCAGCCCAGCGCGUCCCUGGUGCCGGUGCCCCCCCAGCCUCCCCCUCCCCAGCUGGUGGUGCUGGAUGAGAGUGAGGAGGAGGAAGAAGAGGAAGAGGAGGGCGGCAGCCAAGUGGUGAGGAAGAGGGGGGGUCAGAGGAUUUGGGGGGAUCCUGGGGGGGCUUUUUGACGGGUGAGGGGUCUUGGGAAGGGGUUGGGGGUGUCCUGGGAGUGGCUUUAAAGGGAAUUUGGGGAGAGGGGUCUGACAAAUGGGAACUUUAGGUGGGAUUUUGGUGAGCUAGGGAAGGGAUUUUUGGGGCUGGG